UAGGGAAUAUUAGAAAUGGACGAAAGUCUGAUCUAGCAACACCGCGUGUGCGAAGAAGGCCUUCGGGUUGUAAAGCACUUUUUGGAAGGAUUAGGAAGGAAUGUACUUCCAGAAUAAGUCUCGGCUAACUACGUGCCAGCAGCCGCGGUAACACGUAGGAGGCAAACGUUAUCCGGAUUUACUGGGCGUAAAGCGCGUGUAGGUGGUUCUGUAAGUAGGGCGUGAAAGCUCCUGGCUCAACUGGGAGAGGCCGUUCUAAACUGCAGAGCUAGAGGAUGGUAGAGGGAGGUGGAAUUCCGGGUGUAGCGGUGGAAUGCGCAGAUAUCCGGGGGAACACCAGUGGCGAUAGCGGCCUCCUGGCCCAUUUCUGACGCUCAGACGCGAAAGCUAGGGUAGCAAACG
rnacentral:rRNA from 1 species